AUUGAACGCUGGCGGCAGGCCUAACACAUGCAAGUCGAACGGGUGGCGGACGGGUGAGUAAUGUCUGGGAAACUGCCUGAUGGAGGGGGAUAACUACUGGAAACGGUAGCUAAUAACGCAUACCAUCAGAUGUGCCCAGGUGGGAUUGUCUUGUUGGAGGGGUAACGGCUCACCAAGGCGACGAUCCCUAGCGGGUCGGAGAGGAUGAACAGCCAAACUGGAACUGAGACACGGUCCAGAAUCCUACGGGAGGCAGCAGGGGGGAAUAUUGCACAAGGGGCGCAAGCCUGAUGCAGCCAUGCCGCGUGUAUGAAGAAGGUCUUCGGGUUGUAAAGGACUUUCAGCGGGGAGGCGUUACCCGCAGAAGAAGCACCGGCUAACUCCGUGCCAGCCGCCGCGGUAAUAC
rnacentral:rRNA from 1 species